GACAGAGGGGGCAAGCGUUGCUCGGAAUCACUGGGCGUAAAGGGCGCGUAGGCGGGAUGGCAAGUCGGUCGUGAAAUCCUUCGGCCUCAACCGAAGAACGUCGGCCGAUACUGCCGUUCUUGAGGGAUGCAGAGGAGAUUGGAAUUCCCGGUGUAAGCGGUGAAUGUGUAGAGAUCGGGAGGAACACCGGUGGCGAAGGCGGGUCUCGUGG
rnacentral:rRNA from 1 species